rnacentral:rRNA from 1 species
UGGGGAAUAUUGGACAAUGGGCGCAAGCCUGAUCCAGCCAUGCCGCGUGAGUGAUGAAGGCCUUAGGGUUGUAAAGCUCUUUCGCCGACGAAGAUAAUGACGGUAGUCGGAGAAGAAGCCCCGGCUAACUUCGUGCCAGCAGCCGCGGUAAUACGAAGGGGGCUAGCGUUGUUCGGAAUCACUGGGCGUAAAGCGCACGUAGGCGGAUUGUUAAGUCAGGGGUGAAAGCCUGGAGCUCAACUCCAGAACUGCCCUUGAUACUGGCAAUCUCGAGUCCGGAAGAGGUAAGUGGAACUGCGAGUGUAGAGGUGAAAUUCGUAGAUAUUCGCAAGAACACCAGUGGCGAAGGCGGCUUACUGGUCCGGUACUGACGCUGAGGUGCGAAAAGCGUGGGGAGCAAAACAGGAUUAGAUACCCUGGUAGUCCACGCCGUAAAACGAUGGAGGCUAGCCGUUGGCGAGCAUGCUCGUCAGUGGCGCAGCUAACGCAUUAAGCCUCCCGCCUGGGGAGUACGGUCGCAAGAUUAAAAACUC